rnacentral:rRNA from 1 species
UAAAGAUUCAUCGCUGAUAGAUAGGCAUGCGUUCCAUUAGGCAGUUGGCGGGGUAACGGCCCACCAAACCGACGAUGGAUAGGGGUUCUGAGAGGAGGGUCCCCCACAUUGGUACUGAGACACGGACCAAACUCCUACGGGAGGCAGCAGUGAGGAAUAUUGGUCAAUGGGCGUAAGCCUGAACCAGCCAAGUCGCGUGAGGGAUGAAGGUUCUAUGGAUCGUAAACCUCUUUUAUAAGGGAAUAAAGUGCGGGACGUGUCCCGUUUUGUAUGUACCUUAUGAAUAAGGAUCGGCUAACUCCGUGCCAGCAGCCGCGGUAAUACGGAGGAUCCGAGCGUUAUCCGGAUUUAUUGGGUUUAAAGGGUGCGUAGGCGGCCUUUUAAGUCAGCGGUGAAAGUCUGUGGCUCAACCAUAGAAUUGCCGUUGAAACUGGGAGGCUUGAGUAUGUUUGAGGCAGGCGGAAUGCGUGGUGUAGCGGUGAAAUGCUUAGAUAUCACGCAGAACCCCGAUUGCGAAGGCAGCCUGCCAAGCCAUGACUGACGCUGAUGCACGAAAGCGUGGGGAUCAAACAGGAUUAGAUACCCUGGUAGUCCACGCAGUAAACGAUGAUCACUAGCUGUUUGCGAUACACAGUAA